AUACUCUAUAUGAUAUUGCAUUAGGUUCAUCACCAUCUAAAUGUGGAUAGUUAGCGAUAUAAAAAUCAUCAUUGUUUUAAUAGAUUUUAGUUACUAUAGUAUUGUUAAUGAUAGGAAUGUAUAUAUCUAAAAAGGUUUAAAUAUCUCUGAAGUGUUUGUUUUAUUCAAUUUAAUUUCAAUUGAUAAAUAGAUAUACAAAUAUUUCAGUAACCAUUUGAUCAAAGUAAGGAUUAUUCCUGUUAAGGAUUUCAUAUUGUAAAUAACGAACAGACGGACACAAUGUUGGGAAGUUUUCUUCAGAAGUCUAUAGCAUUUUUCUUGUUUACAUUAGAGUGUUUUCAUAUAUGGGGUCAUACACUGAUUUUAUUUCGAGUGCGGUUACCUCCGCGGGAGGAUUUGGUCCGAAUUAGGUACUACUUCUUGGUCGAGCUUCUCACAGUGUUUUCAUCAUCAAUGCUGUUUACGGGGAAGCUAAAAUGGCUAGCUGCUUGUCAAGUAAUUUCGCAUGCAUUCUACUUCAUCUUCUGGGAGAAGAAUUGGGUGACUAGAAAGAUUGUUACAUGGAGCUCAUUAGACUGGUUUAAAAGCGACCUCAGAACACGUUGGGAACUCGACUCAAUUAUUGGUACCACAUUUGAUACUGUGGUCCAUAUAUGUAUGGCGUACUAUUUGGGACAAUACCUGGAUGUUGUAGAAGUAAUAGUUUCCUUGUCGAUCGUACACGUGGGCGUACUCGUGAUGCUGUUCAGACCUUAUUCUUCUUGGGCCUCUCCAGGGAAGGAACCUGUCUGGAUUGAAAACAGAAUUCACCCUGAGAUACUUACAUUUUAAUUUGGAAUAUUAAAAGCAACUUUCUAGUUCUGUUUUUUCCGAAGACAAAUUUGACUCAAAAUGUUAAAAAUAUGUUAUUCACCAAUCAUGAUUUCAUUAGAUGACUUGUUUAACAAGGCGAGAAAUGUUACAGUUUAUGUAGCAUGGAUUUGCUAGUUAUACAUAUUAAAUUUUGUAUAUUGCCAUCUUAUUCUAGAAAGAGCAAUGGCCAGAAUAUACAUGCGUGUUACAGACAGGGCAGUGCUAUGUAUCAGUACAUAUGAUAUAAUUAAUCGGAUAAUACACUAUCAAUAAAAAUCUGAAAACUGAUGGUAUGACUUUCAUAGCUAUAUGAACCAGGAGAAAAUUCCCUUUAUAAGUUUGUUCUUAGUUCAAACGUGUCAAAUACUUCCUGAUAUAAAAAGAUUCCUACAACUAAUUGUGUUGAAAGAGCAUAAAAAUU